UGAUAUAUCUAAUCAUAUACUACAUGGAGUUCCUUUGCUGUACGUAGCGCCCCGUCAGGUGAGGUUCGGGAGGAGGGGGAACAAACUACGGGGCCACGGCCACCACUGUUUGGUUUUGAUACUGACGUCAUGCAGCGGUACACACCAACCAUAACCCUGUUACCAAAGAACCGCCAGGCAGCGAAUCAGAACAAGGGUUGCGCGACGUCUAGGAGAGUUUAAACAACAUAUCGACCAAUGAGAAGAAGGUUGUGUGGCUCGAGCAGCCCUUUAAAGACACGUGCGCAUGUCCCGUGCGCCAUCACUCCUCUGGAAGCGAAGGUAAACGGGUGUUACGCCUGGUCUCAUUGUACUCGGUUCCAUAUUUGUGUGCUGCAUCUCCAUCAUGUCGGACGCUUACUUCGAUAAGUACGACCACUACAACUUCGACGAGAAGUUGGUGCAUUCCCGGGGUAGUGGCAAGAACAGGACAAAGAUAGAGGCGGAGCAGAACAAGCACCAGGAAACUGACGGGCACACCAGGAAGAUUGUCAAUAACAUGAAGAAUAACAUCACCAACAACAGGAUAGCUGAGAACACGAGCAUAAAACACUAAGUGCGGCUCUGUCCGUAAUAUGGUGAUAAUUGUCAAUCGAACCAAAGCGUAGAAUUCUGGACCUGGACGUGGACCGCCUUUGGGAUGUGUACGGGACCACAGCUGCCAUCUUUGUGACUAGGCUCUGCUGGUAGGAGGCUGAUGGUGUUCCGUACCUCACCACCUCAACAUGACUUAAGGAAUUCAUGGAGGUUCUAUUCCAAUUAAGUUUAGCGGAGUUACCUGAAUGUGAAUGUACUGCCAAUCUGAAUACUUCACUUCCCCCUCGAGUCAGCCUCUCGCUAGGAAUCCCUAGCUGGGCAGCAGUCAUCCCUUGUCUUAAGUUACGUAGCUUUUGUGCUAUUGGCAGUAUUUUUUUUUUUUUUAGGGUACUUGUUGAAGGGAACAGUGUAUCGGAAGCAGGCUAUAAUGGUUUAAGCUGAGAGGAACAGCUUGAGGCUUGCGUGGGAUUCUGUUAACAUGAUACACUUGUUGCAGUGUGUGCUAGUGGCUGUGUUGUGUUGCCAGUAGCCAAUGAGCUUUUCCUGUUGUGAUGAAUAAAGUGGUUUUGUAAAAUACUUAA